GGUAUCAGAGCAUGGUUUGAGGAUCACUGAAAUAUUUGAUAUGUUGACAUGCAAAAUAUAUUGAGGUCUAGUGAACUUUAAUGAUUGGUGGAAAUUUUCUUUGAUGCAUUUUAGGAAUCUAGGAUGAUGAUGACAUUUGGGUCCUCCUAUUUCAUUUGUUUCUGAUUAAUUAAGGUGGAUGAAAGGGUUGAUCGAGGAUACUAAAUCAGAGUAGCGCAAUGAAAGCAUG
rnacentral:lncRNA from 1 species